rnacentral:rRNA from 1 species
GAUGAACGCUGGCGGCGUGCUUAACACAUGCAAGUCGAGCGAGAAGUUUUGAAAAGAUUCUUCGGAUGAAAUUUAAAAUGGAAAGCGGCGGACGGGUGAGUAACGCGUAGGCAACCUGCCCCAUACAAAGGGAUAGCAUUUGGAAACGAAUAUUAAUACCUUAUGAAACUUAACUAGUGCAUGCUAGGUAGGUCAAAGAUUUAUCGGUAUGGGAUGGGCCUGCGUCUGAUUAGCUAGUUGGUGAGGUAACGGCUCACCAAGGCGACGAUCAGUAGCCGACCUGAGAGGGUGAACGGCCACAUUGGAACUGAGACACGGUCCAAACUCCUACGGGAGGCAGCAGUGGGGAAUAUUGCACAAUGGGGGAAACCCUGAUGCAGCAACGCCGCGUGAACGAUGAAGGCCUUUGGGUCGUAAAGUUCUGUUCUAGGUGAUGAAAACUGACAGUAACCUAGGAGAAAGCCCGCUAAC